rnacentral:rRNA from 1 species
UACGUAGGCGGCAAGCGUUGUCCGGAUUUACUGGGCGUAAAGAGCGCGCAGGCGGUUGGAUAAGUCGAAUGUGAAAGCCCCCGGCUCAACUGGGGAGGGUCAUUCGAUACUGUCCGACUCGAAGGCAGGAGAGGGAAGCGGAAUUCCCGGUGUAGUGGUGAAAUGCGUAGAUAUCGGGAGGAACACCAGUGGCGAAGGCGGCUUUCUGGCCUGUUCUUGACGCUGAGGCGCGAAAGCCAGGGGAGCAAACGGG